GACGAACGCUGGCGGCGUGCCUAAUACAUGCAAGUCGAGCGGACUGAUUAAGAGCUUGCUCUUAUGACGUUAGCGGCGGACGGGUGAGUAACACGUGGGCAACCUGCCCUGUAGAUCGGGAUAACACCGAGAAAUCGGUGCUAAUACCGGGUAAUAUCUGAGAUCACAUGAUCUUAGGUUAAAAGAUGGCUCCGGCUAUCACUACAGGAUGGGCCCGCGGCGCAUUAGCUAGUUGGUAAGGUAAUGGCUUACCAAGGCGACGAUGCGUAGCCGACCUGAGAGGGUGAUCGGCCACACUGGGACUGAGACACGGCCCAGACUCCUACGGGAGGCAGCAAUAGGGAAUCUUCCGCAAUGGACGAAAGUCUGAUGGAGCAACGCCGCGUGAGUGAUGAAGGGUUUCGGCUCGUAAAGCUCUGUUGUUAGGGAAGAAACAGUACCGAACGAACUAGGUCGGUACCUUGACGGUACCUAACCAGAAAGCCACGGCUAACUACGUG
rnacentral:rRNA from 1 species